AUACGUAGGGGGCGAGCGUUGUCCGGAAUGAUUGGGCGUAAAGGGCGCGUAGGCGGCGCGGUAAGUCUGGAGUGAAAGUCCUGCUUUCAAGGUGGGAAUUGCUUUGGAUACUGCCGCGCUUGAGUGCAGGAGAGGUUAUCGGAAUUCCCGGUGUAGCGGUGAAAUGCGUAGAGAUCGGGAGGAACACCAGUGGCGAAGGCGGGUAACUGGACUGCAACUGACGCUGAGGCGCGAAAGUGUGAGGAGCAAACAGGAUUAGAUACCCUGGUAGUCCACACUGUAAACGAUGAAUGCUAGGUGUAAGAGGUAUCGACCCCUUUUGUGCCGGAGUCAACACAAUAAGCAUUCCGCCUGGGGAGUACGGCCGCAAGGUUGAAACUCAAAUGAAUUGACGGGG
rnacentral:rRNA from 1 species